CCAAACGCGUGACCUCGCACGAAAAGUCCCGUAUUAUAAAAGAAGCAUUUCGUGCUGGAAGAAGGACAGAACGCCCAAUAUCAUCAAACCAUCGGCUGGAUCAUGAGAACCGUGGCAAAAAUCCUCUUGCUCUUGCUUCUCUUGUUUGGAGUAAUGCAAGAAGCGAUCUGCUAUAAAAGAAUACUACGUAAAAGAAACGUACGCCGUACUUCUGUGAUGUUAAAAAAUGCUCGGGAAUGUCGCUUCAAGGAUAGAACUACCCAGAGUUGCCGCAGUCGUGAGCGAAGAUUUCUUCAGAUCUGAGGAAAGUGUGUACGCUCAUCUUGAAAAAUGCGAAGCUGCUCUCUUGGACAAGAAUUAGAACACAUUAUAACGUAAACAUUGAAAAGAAAUGAAAAAGGAUGAAUGGAUGAUUUUAGCUGAUUUAAAAAUGCGCAUUGAUACAAGUAGAAGAAAGAUGUAAUCAAAUAAAAGUUGAAAAAUUGUA